CUUCUGCUGGCACCCUCACUUGCCAGUGGAUCACAUGGCGACUCCAGAGCAGAGACCAGGAGGAAGAGAGAAGGGCAAAUUAAGCUAUUUUUAUUCCUGGUCUUUGAACAAAAAAUCUCUGAUGGCUGGGAAGUGAUGGCCACACCUUUAAUCCCAGGUAGGCAAAGGCAGGUGGAUCUUGAGUUCAAGGCCAGCCUGGUCUACAAAGCAAGUUCCAGGACAGCCAGGGCUAUUACACAGAAUAAACACUGUGGCAAAAAUAAAUAAGUAAAUUAAUGAAUUAAACUAAAAUCUCUGCUGGAAGCACAGCCUAAACAUUCACAGAUUACUGCAAACAAUACUCUCCAUGGCUUUUCAUCCGGAAACCCUGUCUUCCAGAGCAGAAAUUCAUUAUCCUAUUUUGUUUGAUUAGCAAAAACCUCAGCUGAAAAUAGGCUGCAUGUUCUACUCUUUCUCAGUGACCUCUACCUGUUAAUACCUGUGCUCUUUGGGGAGACUGCCUCUGAGCUCUUGUCAGUUUGACUCAGGAGAGCAGCCAAGCUCUAGUGAUAGAUUCUGAAUUAUCCAGAAAUGAAUUCAUGAAAGGAACAAGGGAGUUGGCAGCGGCUGCAUCGUUCAGCUUGAAAUGUCAUAUAGCUGUCAGCCUUGGAAGGGCUGUGGUCUCCACAGUCUAUUGUCACUGGAAACGGACUAGUUGUCCUUCAGGCCUAGUUCUUCCAUCUCUGGGGUGUCUCUCCAGAACUACCUGUCACCCUGCCUACCUGUGGGAUUCUGCUGGCAAGAAAUUGGAGGUGGCAUCCAAAGCCACAGACAGGAACUGGCUGGCUGUUUUGCUAUGUGGUGGAGCCUCGAUAGUCUUAGGGCUAGAUUAGAGCCAAAUAUGACUAAUCUGCUGCCACAGUGUGGAUGACUGGCUUCCUGUUCUCAAAAUUCAAGUUUUGGGUUCUCUGCAAAGCCCUGGGCUAAGUUUUGCUUAAAAGGCCUGGGUCAGAUUUGACCAUAGGCUUGUCUGUGUGGGUUCCCUGAAGUAUGAAGUGACCUGAGGUAUGUGCCACGUGGAGCUAAUGUCAGUAAGGAACAGACCUCAGGAGAUGGACCAGGACUUGGGAUGUCUGCCGACCCUGCAGUCCUUAGCCAGCUAGCAUCUGCUGAGCUUCGCUUUUAGAUGCCAUUUUCUCAAACAGAUGCUGGAAGGCACUGGCUUCUGGAAAUCCCCCUGAACAUCCCACCCCUGCUUUUUAUUAUUAUUAUUAAUAUUAUUCUGCAUGACUAGCUCAUAAGAUGGAAUCUAAGGGGACAAUUAUCAAGACUUUUCCACUUUUUAAAAAAUGUAUGUGACUUAUCUUUGGCUUUCAUUUAAGAGCAGUCUUGGUGGCAGGCAUCUCCCUCUGUGUAUACUCCUGUGGAAUCUGCAGAAACCGAUAUGGCAUACCCCCUCCUGUCUAGGCUGUUUGUAUAAUUGUAUAUAAAUGUAGCAAUAAAUAUAUUCUAACAUCA